ACUGGAGCCCCCUGAGUAAAUGGCCAUGACCUGAACUCGUUCUUUUCCCCAACAGCAAGUGAAGAACUGCCGGGGGUACUUCAGUGCUGCUGAGGACCCCAAGAAGUUGCCCAUCUGUGAAUCCCAAAACUUUGCUGGGGCUGUACCCCUGCUCCUCUGGCUGCUUAAGACCAGGAACAAAGACUCCAAGGAGACUCUGGGCAAGUAUGGAGGGAAAUACGUUCCUCAUAGAAUGGCCUCCAGGAGCCCCUUCCUGUGUUGUUGGGAGUGUGGAGCCACUAUUGCCAGGACUGGCUACAUAAUUUGCAGCACCCAAUGCAAAAUGAAAAUGUGGGGCCCUUUGUUCAAAAAUCAUAAAGAAUUUCAAGACCUCAG
rnacentral:lncRNA from 10 species